rnacentral:rRNA from 1 species
GGCGUGCCUAACACAUGCAAGUCAACUUGACUGAAGGAGCAAUCUGACAGUAGAGUGGCGCAAGGGUGCGUAACGCGUAAGUAACUUGCCCCAAGGUAAGGAAUAACGUCGAGAAAUCGGCGCUAAUACCUCAUAAUGCAGCGGAUCCGCAUGGAUAUGUUGUUAAAGGUUUACCGCCUUGGGAUAGGCUUGCGUCUGAUUAGCUAGUUGGUGUGGUAACGGCACACCAAGGCUACGAUCAGUAACUGGUCUGAGAGGAUGAUCAGUCACACUGGAACUGAGACACGGUCCAGACUCCUACGGGAGGCAGCAGUGAGGAAUAUUGGGCAAUGCUCGAAAGAGUGACCCAGCAACGCCGCGUGGAGGAUGAAGGUAUUCUAUAUCGUAAACUCCUGUGAGAGCAGACGAAAGACAGAUUAUUAAUCUGGAUGACUGUAUGCUCAGAGGAAGCCCCGGCUAACUACGUG